rnacentral:rRNA from 1 species
UUCCUGGUUGAUCCCGCCGGAGGUCACUGCUAUUGGGAUUCGACUAAGCCAUGCGAGUCGAGAGGGUUCGGCCCUCGGCAGACGGCUCAGUAACACGUGGAUAAUCUGUCCUUAGGUGGAAGAUAAUCUCGGGAAACUGAGAAUAAUACUCCAUAGAUCUAGGAUGCUGGAAUGCAUCUAGGUUGAAAGUUCCGGCGCCUAAGGAUGAGUCUGCGGACUAUCAGGCUGUAGUCAGGGUAAAGACCUGACUAACCUACGACGGAUAUGGGUUGUGAGAGCAAUAACCCAGAGACGAUAUCUGAGACACGAUAUCGGGCCCUACGGGGCGCAGCAGGCGCGAAACCUUCACACUGUGCGAAAGCGCGAUGAGGGAAUCCCAAGUGCUUGCUCGUAAGAGUAAGCUGUUUUUGUGUAUAAAAAGCAUAGAGAGUAAGGGCUGGGUAAGACGGGUGCCAGCCGCCGCGGUAA